rnacentral:rRNA from 1 species
UACGUAGGGUGCAAGCGUUGUCCGGAAUUAUUGGGCGUAAAGAGCUUGUAGGCGGUUUGUCGCGUCUGCUGUGAAAUUUCGGGGCUCAACCCCGAACUUGCAGUGGGUACGGGCAGACUAGAGUGUGGUAGGGGAGACUGGAAUUCUGGUGUAGCGGUGAAAUGCGCAGAUAUCAGGAGGAACACCGGUGGCGAAGGCAGGUCUCUGGGCCAUAACUGACGCUGAGAAGCGAAAGCAUGGGGAGCGAACAGG